rnacentral:rRNA from 1 species
GACAGAGGGUGCAAACGUUGUUCGGAAUUACUGGGCGUAAAGCGCGUGUAGGCGGCUUUGCAAGUCGGGCGUGAAAUCCCAUGGCUCAACCAUGGAAGUGCACUCGAAACUGCAGAGCUAGAGUCCUGGAGAGGAAGGUGGAAUGCUUGGUGUAGAGGUGAAAUGCUUAGAUAUCGUCAAGAACACCUAUAGCGAAGGCAGCUUACUAGGCUGUAACUGACGCUGAGGCACGAAAGUGUGGGGAUCAAACAGG